rnacentral:rRNA from 1 species
ACUCAAAGGAAUUGACGGGGGCUCGCACAAGCGGUGGAGCAUGCGGUUUAAUUCGAUGCUACGCGAAAAACCUUACCAACCCUUGACAUGGUGGUCGCGGAUCACAGAGAUGAGAUCCUUCAGUUCGGCUGGACCACACACAGGUGUUGCAUGGCUGUCGUCAGCUCGUGUCGUGAGAUGUUGGGUUAAGUCCCGCAACGAGCGCAACCCUCAUCCUUAUUUGCCAGCGGUUAGGCCGGGAACUAUAAGGAAACUGCCGGCGAUAAGCCGGAGGAAGGUGGGGACGAUGUCAAGUCAUCAUGGCCCUUACGGGUUGGGCUACACGCGUGCUACAAUGGUAUCUACAGAGGGAAGCAAGACGGUGACGUGGAGCCAAUCCCUAAAAGAUAUCUCAGUUCGGAUUGUUCUCUGCAACUCGAGAACAUGAAGCCGGAAUCGCUAGUAAUCGCGGAUCAGCAUGCCGCGGUGAAUACGUUCUCGGGCCUUGUACACACCGCCCGU